rnacentral:misc_RNA from 1 species
GGAACAUUCUUCUUUAUACUAUCCAAGCUAAAACUCAUUAUCCUAUAACUUUUCAGGAUCAGAUCAGAGAAUGAUUCUGAAAAAAUGGGUAACGGGAAACUCAUUCAUACCCCAACUUUUGUCCUAAAGGUAUGUACACACUAGCAUGACUAACUCUUUCCUGUUUAGGCCCCUGAAAUAUGAAUAUAUUCCUAUUCCAAAUAUCUAUCUCUUCGUAAGAUGUUAAUCACCAAAAAAUUAGUCAGAAG